GAUGAACGCUAGCGGCAGGCCUAAUACAUGCAAGUCGGACGGGAUCCAUUGAUAGCUUGCUAUCAAUGGUGAGAGUGGCGCACGGGUGCGUAACGCGUGAGCAACCUGCCUCCAUCAGGGGGAUAGCCUCUCGAAAGAGAGAUUAACACCGCAUAAUAUCAACAGUUCGCAUGUUCAGUUGAUUAAAUAUUUAUAGGAUGGAGAUGGGCUCGCGUGACAUUAGCUAGUUGGUAGGGUAACGGCUUACCAAGGCGACGAUGUCUAGGGGCUCUGAGAGGAGAAUACCCCACAAUGGUACUGAGACACGGACCAGAAUACUACGGGAGGCAGCAGUAAGGAAUAUUGGUCAAUGGGCGGAAGCCUGAACCAGCCAUGCCGCGUGCAGGAGGACUGCCCUAUGGGUUGUAAACUGCUUUUGUACAAGAAUAAACCUAAAUACGAGUAUUUAGCUGAAUGUACUGGAAGAAUAAGGAUCGGCUAACUCCGUG
rnacentral:rRNA from 1 species